CUAUUCUGCAGAGAGAGGGGGUGAGAAGCCCCGACGGGGUUCGACAACUGGCGCAGCCAGUUGGACAGCGGAGCCCUGCGACGCUGCCCGCAGGGUGAGCGCAGCGAAUCAAUCCCCCUCUCACCGCCA
rnacentral:sRNA from 1 species